rnacentral:rRNA from 1 species
AUGCCUUCGUCCUCCUCGUCCUCCCUCGAGCCGGACCACCACCCUGCCCUCCGCAGACAAGGCGACACCGAGGGCGCCGUCUCGUUCCUGCGGACGCAGCACGACGUCGACGCGGUGUGCGACAAGUACGGCGUCCCCAAGGACCGGUACACCGCGCGCCCCGCCGGCGACCUGCGCGCGAGCUCGCCCCCGCCGCCGGGGUGCGUCUGCCUGUACGCGGAGGCGCUGGAGGCCGGCAUGCGCGUCCCGCUGCACGGCUUCUUCUGCGACGUGCUCGCCCAUUUCGGCAUCGCGCCCACCCAGCUCGCGCCCAACGGGUGGCGCAUCUUGGCGGGCUUCGUCGUGCUCUGCCACUCCGCCGACGUGCCGCCGUCGCUGCCCGUGUUCCGGCACUUCUUCCUGCUGUCGAUCGUCAACCGCAAGCACCGAGGGUGCUACUUCUUCCGAUCCAGGGACAACUCCGGCAUGCGCUUCAAGGGGAUGCCGAGCUGCAUCAAGGACUGGAAGAACUCGUUCUUCUUCCUGUCGUCGCCGGAGCCGUGGCCUUUCCCCGUGGAGUGGGGCGAGCCGUCCAAGAGCUCUUUCAUGGUGCCGGUACUUGACAGCGAGGAGAAGAAACACGCGGCGAAGCUACUGCGCAGUUACGCCAGCGCCGCCGUUGACAUCGAUACAUGUCUCUCCGACAGCAACCUCGCAGCCGCCAUGGCACCUGCUGCAUCUGCGCGGCGGCCGCCGCCGCCGGCUUCUUUUACUCGCAUUGCUUCCGAUUCCAAAGGCAUGGAUCCCUCUGUCUACGAGAUGAUGAAGCAUAUGCUGGCGGAGACGGCGGCCGCUCAGGCGUCGGCGUCGGCAAAGAAGCAGCGCGCGUUUGCAUCGACCGAGCCGUCCGAUGUAGUCGCGGCGAGCUAUGUUGCGAUUCUCCAGGCGGCGAACUACGUGUCGUCGUCCUUGGGCUACGCGCUGGAGCUGGAAGAGAAGCUGGCGGCGCGGGACGCGGAGGUCGCGGCGCUAGAGAAGCAGCUGGAGGAGACGAAGGCCGAGCUCGCCGCGGCGAGAGCGGAGCGGGACAGUGCGAGAGGGGCGCGCGCGGCGGCUCGCGGAGCACGCGCUGGAGCGCUGGAAGAGUGGUAG